GCUAGAGUUCGCCAAGGGAAUAAUACUAGAUCAUUGUGUCAUCUGGAGAAUAUCUUCUCGAGGGUUAGGGUUAGGUUUAUAAAUUACAUGUCAAACGUACAAAUUGAAGCUGUAACAACGGUGGAUUGUGGCUAAAACUAUUCUGAAGGGUUAGGGUUAGAUUUGUGGGUAUAAAUGUAACCGGGGGGUGUAAAUUCUCAAUAAAAACUAAGGUGGUUAGUUUUUAAACCUUUAUUAAAAACCCUGAAAUAUAUAUACGUUAAAAUUAAUAUACAUAUCACAGUAACAGUUGAGUACAAUAAAAUAAUAGUAAGGCAUGCAUAUUGGUACUCAAUGAAAUAUAUCAAUAAUUUAUACACUAAAAUACAUCACUAAUUAAAUUAAACAUAUUAAACAGGCCUUAAGUUUAUACUAAAUAUAAUAUAAGUAAUUGAUAACAUACCCAAAGAAGGGGUUUUUAAAUAAGACUAUCAAGAUGGUGAACAAAAUCUUCAGAUAACUAUAUUCUGGAAAAUAACAUUAUUCUGAUUAUACAUACAAUAUACUUUCAAAACGGUACCUUAUAAUCUACUAUAUAUAUGUAUAUAUGAAAAACUAAUGAUCUUUACAUGUUAUUUUCUAUCUAUUUAAAUAAAAUGGUUGCUUAAUAUUACAAUUUCUAUCAUUCCUACAUCCGCUCCAUCUAAACCCCAAUUACCCAAAAUAAGAGAAUUAGCACACAUACCUGUAAUACUGAAGUAGUAUAACUGGAACAAUUCUCUGAAAAUAACCUAACUAGAUUUGGAAAAUAAAGUUAAACAAUUUGAUUGAAGAUAUCAAAUUGUCCUUACACUUCGAAAUCUAUCUAAUGUCUGAUGUCUAAAGUGAGGUUCAGAUAAAAAGAAAACUUGCUUGUAACCAAGGGAGUAGAAUUGUACUCACCCCAAGAUUUGGGCUCUAAGAAAACAGUACAGGUUAACAAGCCAAGUUAAAGGAGAGAUGUUAUUAUAGACCAGUUGCAAUUAAAAUUAGUGUCAGUUUGUUAGUUUAAAGGUGCACUCACUCAAUACACUAUAUUACUUGACAUAAUAAAACCUAUAAACAUAUUAAAAUUCCGCUUCGCUACAUAAACACUGACAGAUAUUCUACAGAUCGGUCAAGAUCCAGUUAUCGGUUUGCAGUAGAGGUUUUGGAAAUCUCGUUAAAAAAUCAACAGUAAAAAAAUAUUUUGAGAAAAAAAAAUGGAUAUGAUAUAUAAAACAAACUGAACAAGUUGGAUCAGGAAAGACUAUCACAAUGCCUAGAAGAAAAAGGUGCAAAUGGAUUAAAAAUUUACAACAACAUUGGUGUAAAUGGCGUGAUAGCAUUGCAAAUGAACCCCUUCCUGAUUCAACAAAUGAACCCCUUCCUGAUUCAACAAAUGAACCCCUUCCUGGAUCACAAGAUCAACCUGGAUCACGAGUUGAACCCCUUCCGGGAUCAAUAGAUGAACCCUUUCCUGGAUCACGAGAUGAACCCCUUCCGGGAUCACCGGAUCAACCCCGUCCUGCUUCAAGAGAUCAACUGGAAACUAAUAAUGUUAAAACAUUCCAUCAUUGUGUUUUUUGUGAUGAGAUUUUUAAAGAGUACAGUGAUCUAGAUCUUCACUAUGAACUACACGUGAACAAGAAGAUCCAUGUUGAAGGAGAAAAAAUUGACAGUAUCGUAAAACACUGCAAAAGACAUGUUAAAACGGGGCAAAUUGCUAAUGUUGUAAAACACCGCAAAAGACAUGUUAAAAAGGGGCAAAUUGCUAAUGUUGUAAAACACCGCAAAAGACAUGUUAAAACGGGACAAAUUGCUAAUGUUGUAAAACACCGCAAAAGACAUGUUAAAACGGGGCAAAUUGCUAAUGUUGUAAAACUCCGCAAAAGACAUGUUAAAAAAGACGAUAUUGAUAAUGCGGUAAAACUCUGCAAAAGACAUGUUCAAGAAGAAAAAAUUGAUGUGGAAAAACUUCACAAGAAACAUGUUAAAGGAAAAAAAAAUUGAUGUGGAAAAACUUCACAAGAAACAUGUUAAAGAAGAGGAAAUUGAUAACUUGAAUUAUUUUCAGUGUAACUUGUGUGAAAGAAAAUUUGAUUUAUACCCUGAUUUAGAAGAACAUUGUAAAAUACAUAUGGAAUAUGAAGAAUCUCCUAUCAUAGGACAAAAUGUUAAAGAAAGCGAAUCUAUUGCAAGUACUUUAUAUCAAUGUACAUUAUGUCAAAUUUGCUUUGAGCAAUAUUUUCACCUGGAAGAACAUUGUAAACUUCAUGGAUAUCAAUGUACAGGCAGAGUUAGGUCUUCCAUUAGAUUCAAAAGAAAAUACAUCCAAAACAGUUUUCUGUGAACACUGUGGGGUUCUUCAGAAGCAGAUAAGAGAAUUAGAAGCGAAGCUGGAUAAAGCCAACAAUAAAUUGGAAGAUCGUCGAUAUGUUGAUAUACCUGUCAAUACCUACACAGACACCGUAUUGCCCUGAUCCUGUAGAGUUAAUAAAAGAGCAGCAGAGAAAUAUAAAAUGAUUGAACUCUGUCAUGGGUAUGGUGUGUUCAUAUAUCCAUCAGAUCUCGUCCACGUCAAGAAAUUAUUCGAGAAAACAAAGAGUGGACAAUCCGUGACUCGUCACCUUCUGAGCGUCAUGUUUACAAAAGAAGAGCUAUGUUUUGGUUCAGUAUCAAAAGAUCCUAAACCUGGUCUGACGUCAUUGGAUGCAACCGUAGUUCAAGCCAUUAGAGAUUACUGUGUAGCAAUGUCAAAGGACAAGAACGUGGCCAUUAAUCAAGCUCUUCACAACAAAUUAACCACGUACAGAUAUAAGGCGAGGUGUAGGGCAACAAGUCCUGAAUACUGAUCAUUGACAGUGCUUAUCUAGAUGAAAUUAUGGAUGACGAAACCCCCGUGCUUAUUGAAGGAGUCAAGUCGCUAACUAACUCAAUAUCAUCCAGUCUUCGACAAUGCAAACAGAAACGAUUGAUGUUUCAGUCAAAAUGAAAAUAUUAACAUUGGCACUUGAAUCGCGUGUAGAAUGCUUCGGGUACCAUUUGCAUUAAGGGACUCGAUGAAGGAGACUAAAUAUAUCCCACGUAGAAGAUUAUCACCUUUUAAAUUCAGACCCUUCGCGUAUUUUGCCAAACAUAACUGAUUAUAAAUUACAGUAUGAUAGAAACGAUUGAAUGUAAAUCAGGUUAUAUAUAUUCAUAAUACAUUAUUAUGUGUUGCGACCUAUUUGUGUCCAUUACUGGGUGCCACAGAAUAGAGAUUUAGCUCUUUCUGGGUUGAUUGCUUAUUAUAUUCAAAUACUAGAUUGGUGGGGAAAACCCGUUCUUAUUUAAUCAAGAUGCUGAGUUGGUGGAGAGAUUUAAGGCCAAGAGUAGCGGAAAGAUAUCAGUAGAAUAUACCACAAGUUCCAAAUACCGAUUAUUGAUAGUGCUUUUAUUGCUGGGUUUGUGGGGGAAACACCGGAUUGUUUAGUUAAAGUGCUGGAUGGUGGGGGAUACCCUGUGAUUAUUUAAUAAAUACACUGGUUUGGCCGGGAACCCUGGGCUUGUUUAGUUAAAAUAUUGGGUUGGUGGGGAAAUCCCGGGCCUGUUUAGUUAAAAUACUGGGUUGUUGAGGAAAAUAAAUUUAUCUUUAAAUUGAAUCCGACCUCUGUUUUAUUGUCUCUGAAACAUUUCCAUCGCGGCGCCCUAACCUAACCAGUCGGUGUGGUGUGUUUCAUUGACUUGAAGACCAUGAUAAAAGUGACCGUAAAUAUAAAAGUAAAUAUAAAAGUAAACAUAAUCAAUCGCUGUUUUAAUGAAAUGCAAAUAUGCUUGUUUUUGUUCAGUUAAUAUCGAUGUGAUUCAUGAUGUCAUAAAUCAACCUCUUCUAUGUACCAGUUUGCAUACAUGAAAUUAAAGGGAGUAAAAUGAGAUUUAACCUGUUA